rnacentral:snoRNA from 1 species
GCAUGGGUUUGGAUUUAUGGCAGGCCUAGCCCCAUGGGCCUCCAUCAUGUCCCAUGCCAGAGCAAACCGUAGCCCCAAACCAUUGCCUUGCCUCCUAGCCCAUAGGCUUCCAGCACUGAAGUGGGUUGCACAGUG